rnacentral:rRNA from 1 species
AGUGAACGCCGGCGGUAGGCCUAACACAUGCAAGUCGAACGGCAGCACAGAGGAGCUUGCUCCUUGGGUGGCGAGUGGCGGACGGGUGAGGAAUACAUCGGAAUCUACUCUGUCGUGGGGGAUAACGUAGGGAAACUUACGCUAAUACCGCAUACGACCUACGGGUGAAAGCAGGGGAUCUUCGGACCUUGCGCGAUUGAAUGAGCCGAUGUCGGAUUAGCUAGUUGGCGGGGUAAAGGCCCACCAAGGCGACGAUCCGUAGCUGGUCUGAGAGGAUGAUCAGCCGCACUGGAACUGAGACACGGUCCAGACUCCUACGGGAGUCAGCAGUGGGGAAUAUUGGACAAUGGGCGCAAGCCUGAUCCAGCCAUACCGCGUGGGUGAAGAAGGCCUUCGGGUUGUAAAGCCCUUUUGUUGGGAAAGAAAUCCAUCUGGUUAAUACCCGGGUGGGAUGACGGUACCCAAAGAAUAAGCACCGGCUAACUUCGUGCCAGCCGCCGCCGUAA